UCUGAUUCUACCUGCUCAAGGCUGG
rnacentral:piRNA from 1 species